GACGAACGCUGGCGGCGUGCUUAACACAUGCAAGUCGAACGGAAAGGCCCUGCUUUUGUGGGGUGCUCGAGUGGCGAACGGGUGAGUAACACGUGAGUAACCUGCCCUUGACUUUGGGAUAACUUCAGGAAACUGGGGCUAAUACCGGAUAGGAGCUCCUGCUGCAUGGUGGGGGUUGGAAAGUUUCGGCGGUUGGGGAUGGACUCGCGGCUUAUCAGCUUGUUGGUGGGGUAGUGGCUUACCAAGGCUUUGACGGGUAGCCGGCCUGAGAGGGUGACCGGGCACAUUGGGACUGAGAUACGGCCCAGACGCCUACGGGAGGCAGCAGUGGGGAAUAUUGCAAAAUGGGCGGAAGCCGGAUGCAGCAACGCCGCGUGCGGGAUGACGGCCUUCGGGUUGUAAACCGCUUUCGCCUGUGACGAAGCGUGAGGGACGGUAAUGGGUAAAGAAGCACCGGCUAACUACGU
rnacentral:rRNA from 1 species